GACGAACGCUGGCGGCGUGCUUAACACAUGCAAGUCGAACGAAGUGGCGAACGGGUGAGUAACGCGUAAUCAACCUGCCCUUCAGAGGGGGACAACAGUUGGAAACGACUGCUAAUACCGCAUACUGACUGUGGGGCUUGCGUCUGAUUAGCUAGUUGGAGGGGUAACGGCCCACCAAGGCGAUGAUCAGUAGCCGGUGUGAGAUGAUGAACGGCCACAAUGUGACUUGGACACGGCCCAGACUCCUACGGGAGGCAGCAGUGGGGAAUCUUCCGCAAUGGACGAAAGUCUGACGGAGCAACGCCGCGGGAGUGAUGACGGCCUUCGGGUUGUAAAGCUCUGUUAAUCGGGACGCGGUAGCGGAAGAGAAAGCCACGGCUAACUACGUGCCAGCAGCCGCGGUAAUAG
rnacentral:rRNA from 1 species